rfam:Tupaia chinensis contig60801, whole genome shotgun sequence.
UUGCUCACUUCGGGAGCACAUAUACUAAAAUUGGAAUGAUACAGAGAAGAUUAGCACAGCCCCCGAGCAAGGGUGACACACAGAUUCGUAAAGCGUUCCAUAUUUUU